rnacentral:rRNA from 1 species
GACGAACGCUGGCGGCGUGCUUAACACAUGCAAGUCGAACGGAGUGCCCCAGACAGAGGUUUCGGCCAAUGGAAGGGAACACUUAGUGGCGGACUGGUGAGUAACGCGUGAGGAACCUGCCUUUCAGAGGGGGACAACAGUUGGAAACGACUGCUAAUACCGCAUGAUGCAUUUGGGUGGCAUCACCUGAAUGCCAAAGAUUUAUCGCUGAAAGAUGGCCUCGCGUCUGAUUAGCUAGUUGGUGGGGUAACGGCCCACCAAGGCGACGAUCAGUAGCCGGACUGAGAGGUUGACCGGCCACAUUGGGACUGAGAUACGGCCCAGACUCCUACGGGAGGCAGCAGUGGGGAAUAUUGGGCAAUGGACGCAAGUCUGACCCAGCAACGCCGCGUGAAGGAAGAAGGCUUUCGGGUUGUAAACUUCUUUUGUCAGGGAAGAGCAGAAGACGGUACCUGACGAAUAAGCCACGGCUAACUACGUG